GGGAGCGGUGUGAAUCGAGAGGUUCACGCACCGUUCUGUGAGAGGCUGGGGGUGCGACUCCCCCGGCCUACUCGCC
rfam:Azoarcus aromaticum EbN1 complete genome